AACAUUUUCGGACUACUAAAUGACUAUUGAUUUAGAACCACAGAGAGUUACCACAAGUCGCAAAGAAAACAGGAGCUGCAUCCACUAUUCCAGCAUCAUUUCAACUUCAACAUUUGAUCAUAAUCUUAUCACCUAUGCUUAGUCUAAUACAUCCACAACUAAAAAAAUAUAAAAAACGAUUUAGUCCAAUCAAAGUAAGCUAAAUAUGAUGUGGCUGUUGAUGGUACUGAUUUCUGUGUGUGUGGGUGUGUGUGUGCGCGGUGUGUGUGUGUGUGCGCAGGGUGUGUGUGUGCGCGGUGUGUGUGUGUGUGCGGUGUGUGUGUGUGUGUGUGCGGUGUGUGUGUGUGUGUGCGCGGUGUGUGUGUGUGUGCGCGGUGUGUGUGUGUGUGCGCGGUGUGUGUGUGUGUGCGCGGUGUGUGUGUGUGCGCGGUGUGUGUGUGUGCGUGCGUGCAAGAAGAAAAAACAUGUUGACUCACAAUACUUGUAGAGAAAUGCCAUCCUCCUCUUUCAUGUUGCCUAAACGGUCUAUGACUCUGUCAUACAGUACAUGCUUUUGGUUUUUAUUUUUUCUAGGCUACCUGGUUAAAAAAAUUGCUUGCUAGCCUAACUUCCUUUCAUGUGCAACAAUGCGCCAGGUCGGCUAGUUAACAUUCGCAUACUACGUCUAGCUACAUGUUGAACUUCAAUCCUCUCAGUCCAGGGGUACAAUAUAAUUUAUUUAUGGUUGGAUCAGAAUCCCUGUUAUAAUCAUUGGACAAUAUGGUGAAUUAAGUAAAACCACAAGUCCAAACCCUUAUAUCCAUCCAUGGUUAAUUUAGGAGAUGGACGAUUUUAGCUCGCUAGCUAGCCACCGGAGGACAACAACAUAUAGAGAUGAGAUUUCUCCUGUCAAUAAUGAUGUUUGGCUUGUGAUGUGAUUGGUCUGAAGCAAAAUCCAAACUGGCUUCCCUUAAAAUGUUUUUUUUUUUUGUGCAACAGGACCAUUCACAGAUGAGCUCACUCAGUGUAGCUCAAUGCUGAUUGGC
ensembl:lncRNA